rnacentral:rRNA from 1 species
GCAGUCGAGCGCUGAUUCAGGGGUAGCAAUAUUCCUGAGUCGGAGCGGCGCAAGGGUGCGUAACACGUGGGUAAUUUGCCAUGAAGUCUGGAAUAACUUGCUGAAAGGCGAGCUAAUGCCGGAUGUGACAUUUGGGGGGCAUCUCCUGAAUCUCAAAGUUGGGGACCGUAAGGCCUGACGCUUCUUGAUAAGCCCGCGGCCUAUCAGCUAGUUGGUGAGGUAAUGGCUCACCAAGGCUAAGACGGGUAGCUGGUCUGAGAGGACGACCAGCCACACUGGAACUGAGACACGGUCCAGACACCUACGGGUGGCAGCAGUCGAGAAUUUUUCACAAUGGGCGCAAGCCUGAUGGAGCGACGCCGCGUGGGGGAUGAAUGGCUUCGGCCCGUAAACCCCUGUCAUUUGCGAACAAACCUUGUCCGUUAAUAGCGGACAAGCUGAUUGUAGCGGAAGAGGAAGGGACGGCUAACUCUGUGCCAGCAGCCGCGGUAAUACAGAGGUCCCGAGCGUUGUUCGGAUUCACUGGGCGUAAAGGGUGCGUAGGUGGUGAGGUAAGUCGGAUGUGAAAUCUCCGGGCUUAACCCGGAAAUGGCAUUGGAAACUACCUUGCUAGAGGAUUUGAGGGGGGAUUGGAAUACUUGGUGUAGCAGUGAAAUGCGUAGAUAUCAAGUGGAACACCAGUGGCGAAGGCGAAUC